rnacentral:rRNA from 1 species
GUGGGGGAUAUUGCACAAUGGAGGAAACUCUGAUGCAGCGACGCCGCGUGAGUGAAGAAGUAUUUCGGUAUGUAAAGCUCUAUCAGCAGGGAAGAUAAUGACAGUACCUGACUAAGAAGCCCCGGCUAACUACGUGCCAGCAGCCGCGGUAAUACGUAGGGGGCAAGCGUUAUCCGGAUUUACUGGGUGUAAAGGGAGCGUAGACGGAAUGGCAAGUCUGAAGUGAAAUCCUGCGGCUUAACUGCAGAAUUGCUUUGGAAACUGUCAAUCUGGAGUGUUGGAGAGGUAAGCGGAAUUCCUGGUGUAGCGGUGAAAUGCGUAGAUAUCAGGAAGAACACCGGAGGCGAAGGCGGCUUACUGGACAAUAACUGACGUUGAGGCUCGAAAGCGUGGGAAGCAAACAGGAUUAGAAACCCGUGUAGUCC